AAACCAUGAUGGGGACACUGUCUUAACAAACUCUUGAAUCUGUCCCAUACUUUAAAUAGUAAUUCUCCAUCUAUCUGAGCAAAGUGUGUGAUGUUAUUCCUUAAGUAA